AAGGUAGCGAAAUUCCUUGUCGGGUAAGUUCCGACCUGCACGAAUGGCGUAACGAUGGCCACACUGUCUCCUCCUGAGACUCAGCGAAGUUGAAGUGUUUGUGAUGAUGCAAUCUACCCGCGGCUAGACGGAAAGACCCCAUGAACCUUUACUGUAGCUUUGCAUUGGACUGUGAACCGGCCUGUGUAGGAUAGGUGGGAGGCUUUGAAGCGUGGUCGCUAGAUCACGUGGAGCCAUCCUUGAAAUACCACCCUGGUUUGUUUGCGGUUCUAACCUUGGUCCGUUAUCCGGAUCGGGGACAGUGCAUGGUGGGCAGUUUGACUGGGGCGGUCUCCUCCCAAAGUGUAACGGAGGAGUUCGAAGGUACGCUAGGUACGGUCGGAAAUCGUGCUGAUAGUGCAAUGGCAUAAGCGUGCUUGACUGUGAGACUGACAAGUCGAACAGGUGCGAAAGCAGGACAUAGUGAUCCGGUGGUUCUGAAUGGAAGGGCCAUCGCUCAACGGAUAAAAGGUACUCUGGGGAUAACAGGCUGAUACCGCCCAAGAGUUCAUAUCGACGGCGGUGUUUGGCACCUCGAUGUCGGCUCAUCUCAUCCUGGGGCUGUAGCCGGUCCCAAGGGUAUGGCUGUUCGCCAUUUAAAGAGGUACGUGAGCUGGGUUUAAAACGUCGUGAGACAGUUUGGUCCCUAUCUGCCGUGGGCGUUGGAUACUUGACGGAGCCUGCUCCUAGUACGAGAGGACCGGAGUGGACGUACCUCUGGUGUACCGGUUGUCAUGCCAAUGGCAUUGCCGGGUAGCUAAGUACGGAAGAGAUAACCGCUGAAGGCAUCUAAGCGGGAAACUCGUCUGAAGAUUAGGUAUCCCGGGGACUUGAUCCCCCUGAAGAGUCGUUCGAGACCAGGACGUUGAUAGGUCGGGUGUGGAAGCGCAGUAAUGCGUUAAGCUAACCGAUACUAAUUGCUCGUGAGGCUUGAUCCUAUAACACUGAUGGUUAUG
rnacentral:rRNA from 1 species